AACGAACGCUGGCGGCAUGCCUAACACAUGCAAGUCGAACGAGACCUCCGGGCCUAGUGGCGCACGGGUGCGUAACGCGUGGGAACCUGCCCGUAGGUUCGGAAUAACUCCCCGAAAGGGGUGCUAAUACCGGAUAAGGUCUUCGGACCAAAGAUUUAUUGCCUUUGGAUGGGCCCGCGUUGGAUUAGCUAGUUGGUAGGGUAAAAGCCUACCAAGGCGACGAUCCAGAGCUGGUCUGAGAGGAUGAUCAGCCACACUGGGACUGGGACACGGCCCAGACUCCUACGGGAGGCAGCAGUGGGGAAUAUUGGACAAUGGGCGAAAGCCUGAUCCAGCAAUGCCGCGUGAGUGAUGAAGGCCUUAGGGUUGUAAAGCUCUUUUACCCGGGAUGAUAAGGACAGUACCGGGAGAAUAGGCUCCGGCUAACUCCGU
rnacentral:rRNA from 1 species